UGGCAAGUCUUACACGACCAGCUCCUGCUGAACUCCCCCAGGGCAGGAAUGCAGCAAGGGUAGGCGGUCGCAGCGGUGCGAUGUAAGCCACUUG
rnacentral:SRP_RNA from 1 species